AGAGUUUGAUCCUGGCUCAGGAUUAACGCUUGCGGUACGUCUAAUACAUGCAAGUCGAGCGGAGUACUUCGGUACUCAGCGGCGAACGGGUGAGUAACACGUAGGUAACCUGCCUUUAAGACGAGGAUAACAGUUGGAAACGACUGCUAAUACUGGAUUGGAAGCGAGGAAGGCAUCUUCCUAGCUUAAAAGGUCCUUUAGGGGACUACUUAAAGAGGGGCCUGCGGCGCAUUAGUUAGUUGGUAAGGUAAGGGCUUACCAAGACAAUGAUGCGUAGCUGGACUGAGAGGUUGAACAGCCACACUGGGACUGAGAACGGCCCAGACUCCUACGGGAGGCAGCAGUAGAGAAUCUUCGGCAGUGGGGGGAACCCUGACCGAGCGAUACCGCGUGAAUGAAGAAAUACUUCGGUAUGUAAAGUUCUUUUAUAGAGGAUGAAUGAUGCGUGUAGGAAAUGACACGUAAGUGACAGUACUUUAGGAAUAAGCCCCGGCUAACUAUGUGCCAGCAGCCGCGGUAAUACAUAGGGGGCAAGCGUUAUCCGGAUUUAUUGGGCGUAAAGGGUGCGUAGGCGGCCGUUUAAGUUUGAGGCGUAAGUUCAAGGCUCAACCUUGCGAUGCUUCAAAAACUGGAUGGCUUGAGAGAGGUAGAGGCAAGUGGAAUUCCAUGUGUAGCGGUAAAAUGCGUAAAUAUAUGGAGGAACACCAGUGGCGAAGGCGGCUUGCUGGGCCUUAUCUGACGCUGAGGCACGAAAGCGUGGGGAGCAAACAGGAUUAGAUACCCUGGUAGUCCACGCCGUAAACGAUGAGUACUAAGUGUCGGGAGAACCCGGUGCUGCAGUUAACGCAUUAAGUACUCCGCCUGAGUAGUACGUGCGCAAGCAUAAAACUCAAAGGAAUUGGCGGGACCUCGCACAAGCGGUGGAUCAUGUUGUUUAAUUCGACGAUACGCGAAGAACCUUACCAGGCCUUGACAUACCGAGCGAUGCUAUGGAGACAUAGCGGAGGUUAACUGGGAUACAGGUGGUGCAUGGUUGUCGUCAGCUCGUGUCGUGAGAUGUUGGGUUAAGUCCCGCAACGAGCGCAACUCUUAUCGCUAAUUGCCAUCAUUAAGUUGGGGACUUUAGCGAGACUGCCAGUGACAAACUGGAGGAAGGUGAGAAUGACGUCAAAUCAUCAUGCCCCUUAUGGCCUGGGCUACAAACGUGAUACAAUGGUUGGUACAAAGGGAGGCAACGCCGUGAGGCCAAGCGAACCCCAUAAAACCAAUCUCAGUUCGGAUUGAAGUCUGCAACUCGACUUCAUGAAGUCGGAAUCGCUAGUAAUCGUAGAUCAGAACGCUACGGUGAAUACGUUCUCGAGGUUUGCACUCACCGCCCGUCA
rnacentral:rRNA from 1 species